rnacentral:rRNA from 1 species
UGGGCCUACGGGACGCAGCAGUGAGGAAUAUUGGUCAAUGGUCGGGAGACUGAACCAGCCAAGCCGCGUGAGGGAUGAAGGUACAGAGUAUCGUAAACCUCUUUUGUCAGGGAACAAAGGCGGGGACGUGUCCCCGGAUGAGUGUACCUGAAGAAAAAGCAUCGGCUAACUCCGUGCCAGCAGCCGCGGUAAUACGGAGGAUGCGAGCGUUAUCCGGAUUUAUUGGGUUUAAAGGGUGCGCAGGCGGAGGUGCAAGUCAGCGGUCAAAUUGCGGUGCUCAACCCCGUACUGCCGUUGAAACUGCA